rnacentral:rRNA from 1 species
GACGAACGCUGGCGGCGUGCUUAACACAUGCAAGUCGAACGGAAAGGCCCUGCUUUUGUGGGGUGCUCGAGUGGCGAACGGGUGAGUAACACGUGAGUAACCUGCCCUUGACUUUGGGAUAACUUCAGGAAACUGGGGCUAAUACCGGAUAGGAGCUCCUGCUGCAUGGUGGGGGUUGGAAAGUUUCGGCGGUUGGGGAUGGACUCGCGGCUUAUCAGCUUGUUGGUGGGGUAGUGGCUUACCAAGGCUUUGACGGGUAGCCGGCCUGGGAGGGUGACCGGCCACAUUGGGACUGCGAUACGGCCCAGACUCCUACGGGAGGCAGCAGUGGGGAAUAUUGCACAAUGGGCGGAAGCCUGAUGCAGCAACGCCGCGUGCGGGAUGACGUCCUUCGGGUUGUAAACCGCUUUCGCCUGUGACGAAGCGUGAGUGACGGUAAUGGGUAAAGAAGCACCGGCUAACUACGUG